AUCGCUUCUUGGCCUUUUGGCUAAGAUCAAUUUUAGUAUCUGUUCUUAUCAGUUUAAUAUCUGAUAAACUCUGGGAGUUGGUGAUGGACAGGGAGGCCUGGUAUGCUGCAGUCCAUAGGUUCACAAAGAGUUGGUCAUGACUGAGUGAAUGAACAGAAAAGAGCUGAACUGAAUGUCCUCUAUCUGAGAACAAAUUAAACGGAUUUUUGGAGCAGGAAGUUGGAAUAGGCUUGCUCAGACAAAUACUUUUCUGUGCAAACUCUUCUUGGACUACUGGAGAAUUCUAGUGGUAGACUAC
rnacentral:snRNA from 1 species